UGUGAUGGCUGCAGUGCGAAACACUGACACACCAGCCAGGCGACCGUUCUGGGGAAGAAAACUCGGAGGUGGAAUACAUAUGCCUUUCCCCCAAAUAAGAAGGGCCACAAAGAGUUUGACAAAAAGCUGUCGGCUGGCUUAGGUUGCAGCAGUGAGACGUAACUGGAGCUAAAGCUAUAACAUCUGACAGCUUUACAGCAUGGAUGAAUGUGUGUCCUGUACACGUUCAUUCUGGUCAGCCAGCAUGUGAAGACUGGAAACCAUCUUUACAUUUGCACCUCAGUGAAGUCAAGGAGACAGACACAGAGCAUUAUGCCAGACAGUUCAAGAGACGGCGUCGAGAGAAUAUUCAGAGAGUCGGGGUGGCGGGGUGGGGGCAGUGAGAAGAAAAGGGGACACACCAUCUUAAUGUGGUAGAAGAAUGUCAUUUAUACAUAGAUGCCAUGAAAUCGACUGCCUGCAUGAUGAAAGUCUGAAGCAGAAGUGUGAAUGUGGCGAAAGCAAGAUGACAUGGUAAAUUACUACACUGGAUUUCCAAGCUGUGGUGCUUUCAUUGCUUUUUGCUGACCCAUGUUCUGUCUGGCUUAGGGAAGGAAAAUGUUUACACCUUUUCAGAUGCUCCUUGUAACCCUCACUGUUCCAGCUGCCUUUCUGGACGCCAUAUGUGUUUUGCAUUCUUGCAAAUCCAGUGGCUGGACAGGGUCUGUUUGUGGGUCACUAUGUCACCUUAGUUUGCAAAGACACCUGGGAAUCCUCUUGCCAUUAUUGUGGACUGUUUUGUAGUCUUCCUAGGAAGACCACCCUGUCUGUAAGCACUGCCACAAACAGGUUCAAAUAUAUACACACAGGUUUUCCUAUAUAUUUCUAGAGUACAUAUUUUUUCCUAUGAAGAAUAAACAUUUUGAACAGCA